rnacentral:rRNA from 1 species
CACUCCUGCGGGAGGCAUCAGUGGGGAAUAUUGGACAAUGGGCGCAAGCCUGAUCCAGCCAUGCCGCGUGAGUGAUGAAGGCCCUAGGGUUGUAAAGCUCUUUCACCGGUGAAGAUAAUGACGGUAACCGGAGAAGAAGCCCCGGCUAACUUCGUGCCAGCAGCCGCGGUAAUACGAAGGGGGCUAGCGUUGUUCGGAUUUACUGGGCGUAAAGCGCACGUAGGCGGACUAUUAAGUCAGGGGUGAAAUCCCGGGGCUCAACCCCGGAACUGCCUUUGAUACUGGUAGUCGUGAGUUCGAGAGAGGUGAGUGGAAUUCCGAGUGUAGAGGUGAAAUUCGUAGAUAUUCGGAGGAACACCAGUGGCGAAGGCGGCUCACUGGCUCGAUACUGACGCUGAGGUGCGAAAGCGUGGGGAGCAAACAGGAUUAGAUACCCCAGUAGUCCCAUG